rnacentral:ncRNA from 2 species
CAACAUUCCUUUGGUUCGCGCGUCCUCUUCGCAUAGAGGACUGGGAAGCGGGUGAGAAUCCCGCGCUGCCGCGCAACUGUAAGCGAGGAAAUUGCCGCCGGUCACCGGGAGUAAUCCUGGGAAGGCCGGUCGCGAUCGCCGGAUAUUGAGAUUAAGGCGCAUUUGCGCACUCAAUAUCAUGACUCGCCAAGCCAGGAGACCGGCGCGAACCGUCCACACCAA